UCUUUCUCAACGGCUACAAGAAAACAGAGACUCCGCUCACGUCAGAUCAUUUCUCUCCCCCUCUCCAUCGCCUCCUCUUCCUCUCUUCUGCUUCGUCCGUGCUUCCUUCAUUUGUUCUUCGUCUACUCAUUCCCUUUUUCUCUCUCUCUCGACGGAGUCGCGGUCGAGCUGGCGGUGCCUGAUUUGGCUCGAUCGAAGAGGGCCGGAGCCAGAUGCGGCUACCUGUGCGGUGGAUCAUUGUUGACGGUACAGAGAGGCAGAGGAAGGCGACAAUGGUCGUGGCAACGGCGGAGUCGUGAGCAUGUAAUGAGUUUCUCGCUUCACAGGAUGUCCUCCUGUUCUUGCUCCGUUGGGGUUUCUGCAGUCGUGAGCAUGUCGUGAGUUCGAGGCGGGCUCUUCGAUUCUUCGCACGGGUUCAUCCUUCGUGAACUUGUCGCGAGUUUCUCGAUUCUCCUGGGGCUCGUGUGAAUGCAUUGCAUGACGAUGAUGCUGUGGGGUUGUGGUAGAUUAUCAUCUGAAAGAAAAACUAGCGCAAGAACUUAGAAGAACUAGAUUCUCGCAAAUUAACUCUCUGCCAGCAAAGUUUCACAUGCUUUUCGAUUAUCAUAGACACGGGAUAUACCAAUUUUGGGGAAGUACCUUAUCUUAUGUCCACGCAUUCUCUAAUCCAACCUUGUCAUCGUCUUGCUAAGAAUUCUUUCGACUCUGCUAUUCUUUGCCAAUUUCCUUGCCCAAAA